GAUGAACGCUGGCGGCGUGCCUAAUACAUGCAAGUCGAGCGAACAGACGAGGAGCUUGCUCCUUUGACGUUAGCGGCAGACGGGUGAGUAACACGUGGGUAACCUACCUAUAAGACUGGGAUAACUUCGGGAAACCGGAGCUAAUACCGGAUAAUAUUUCGAACCGCAUGGUUCGAUAGUGAAAGAUGGCUUUGCUAUCACUUAUAGAUGGACCUGCGCCGUAUUAGCUAGUUGGUAAGGUAACGGCUUACCAAGGCAACGAUACGUAGCCGACCUGAGAGGGUGAUCGGCCACACUGGAACUGAGACACGGUCCAGACUCCUACGGGAGGCAGCAGUAGGGAAUCUUCCGCAAUGGGCGAAAGCCUGACGGAGCAACGCCGCGUGAGUGAUGAAGGUCUUCGGAUCGUAAAACUCUGUUAUUAGGGAAGAACAAACGUGUAAGUAACUGUGCUCGUCUUGACGGUACCUAAUCAGAAAGCCCCGGCUAACUACGUGCCAGCAGCCGCGGUUAAUACGUAGGUGGCAAGCGUUAUCCGGAAUUAUUGGGCGUAAAGCGCGCGUAGGCGGUUUUUUAAGUCUGAUGUGAAAGCCCACGGCUCAACCGUGGAGGGUCAUUGGAAACUGGAAAACUUGACUUGCACAAAAGAAAAGGGGAAUUCUUUGUGUAGCGGUGAAAUGUGCACAGCUUAUGUAGGAACCCCAUUGUGCCAAGGCGACCUUCCUGGUCCUGUAACUGAACGCUGAUUUUCUAAAAGCGCUGGGGAAUCAAACCGGGUUCAGAUUCCCCUGGUAAGUCCCCGUCCUAAAACGAUUGAGUGCCAAGCGUUAGGGGGUUUCCGCCCUUUAAUGAUGCAGUUAACGCAUUUAAGCACUCCCGCCUGGGGAAAUACGACCCGCAAGGUUGAAACUCAAAGGAAUUGACGGGGACCCGCACAAGCGGUAGAGCCUGUGGUUUAAUUUGUAGCAACGCGAAGAACCUUACCAAAUCUUGACAUCCUUUGACCCUUCUAGAGGAUGGAAGUUUCCCCAUCGGGGGACAAAGUGACAGGUGGUGCAUGGUUGUCGUCAACUCGUGUCGUGAGAUGUUGGGUUAAGUCCCGCAACGAGCGCAACCCUUAAGCUUAGUUGCCAUCAUUAAGUUGGGCACUCUAAGUUGACUGCCGGUGACAAACCGGAGGAAGGUGGGGAUGACGUCAAAUCAUCAUGCCCCUUAUGAUUUGGGCUACACACGUGCUACAAUGGACAAUACAAAGGGCAGCGAAACCGCGAGGUCAAGCAAAUCCCAUAAAGUUGUUCUCAGUUCGGAUUGUAGUCUGCAACUCGACUACAUGAAGCUGGAAUCGCUAGUAAUCGUAGAUCAGCAUGCUACGGUGAAUACGUUCCCGGGUCU
rnacentral:rRNA from 1 species